GCUCUCAUAGCUCAGUUGGUAGAGCUUUGCUCUUAUGUCAGUUACGGCAUGCAUGUUAGGCAAAAGUCGGUGGUUCAAUUCCGCCUGAGAGUA
rnacentral:tRNA from 1 species